CCUACGGGAGGCAGCAGUAGAGAAUCUUUCACAAUGGGCGAAAGCCUGAUGGAGCAACGCCGCGUGCAGGAUGAAGGCCUUCGGGUUGUAAACUGCUUUUAUAAGCGAGAAAUAUGAUGGUAACUUAUGAAUAAGGAUCGGCUAACUACGUGCCAGCAGCCGCGGUCAUACGUAGGAUCCGAGCAUUAUCCGGAGUGACUGGGUGUAAAGAGUUGCGUAGGUGGCAUAAUAAGUAGCUAGUGAAAUCUGGUGGCUCAACCAUUCAGACUAUUAGCUAAAAUGUUAAGCUCGAGACCGUUAGGGGUAACUGGAAUUUCUAGUGUAGGAGUGAAAUCCGUAGAUAUUAGAAGGAACACCAAUAGCGUAGGCAGGUUGCUGGGACGGUUCUGACACUAAGGCACGAAAGCGUAGGGAGCAAACGGGAUUAGAUACCCCUGUAGUC
rnacentral:rRNA from 1 species